UGUUAAAGCUGAAAAAAAGCAUUUGAAUGGCAAUCUGCCAUUUUAUACUAGCAACCAAAAUAAAACCCUAACACCCCCCUUUUUGUUUUUUCCAUUAGCCAAUUCCAAGCCCUCCCAAGCGCCGUUCUCCUCUGUCAGUUGUGACUAGCCGAUUCAGGUCCCGAAGGACAACAAUCUCGGCUUCUCAACUUCGAUUUCAACGAAGCAGAUGGAAUCCCACAGUACUUCCGAAAGGUUGUGAGGACGUGGAGGGGCGGAGCGCACGGACGUGGGGCGAACAAUGCGCGAGUCGGGGUCAUACGUGGUACGUGGAGGCCGCUGGUGACCACUGCUGCGGCGUGAAACAGAUGGAAACCCUAGGGUUUUCGAAUUUGGGCCUAUUGUUGUUGGGCCAUUAUUUUGGGCUGUUUUAUGUAAUUGGGCAUUUGGGCCAGGUUUUUCUUUUUGGAUUUACUAUUUGUAAAUGGAUAUUUAAUAUUUUUGUUUUAUUUUUUGGUUUUUGUAUGUGUAUGGGCUCGGGCCAAAAUUUUGUCUUACAACAUCUACUUACCUUGUAACACCCCAAAUAUGACAAGUUCAAAGUUUUAGAGUAUAACAAUAAAUAGUGUGUCUAGUGUAGUGUUAUCCGCCAAAAGAUUGCUUUGGCGUAUACGUGUGGACAUAUAGUAACCGCCACGAUUGUAAGUAUGAAUUUGAUUUUAUGAUAUUCUGCCAUGUAUUAAGGAGAAA